UCGAGAGCCGGCGCUCUGUGCCUCAGAUCUCGGCCUAAUAGGCCCCUAGAGUCAAAAGCAGCGUCUGUCACCGCCACCAGAACUGUACGUGCGGCAGCGCUGGACUCGGCCCAGAUAACCCGGCUUGGGUUCAGAGUGCCUAAUUCGGCCCCACAGGACUCCUUCUCCGAAGCUGCGGGCGUUGCUAUGCUGCGCAGAGAGAACACCUCGCCACCAUCGCCGCUGCCGCCGCUGCUGCUGCUGCUCUCCUACGGCCGCCGCCGCCGCCGCCGCCUAACCAAUCCCUCCCCUACUGGGCUUGAGGAGUAACUGAUUAGGAAAAAGUCUUCGUAUGAAUGAAGUUCUUUCUUUAGGAUUUCACUUUAUUUAUAGCCCAUACAAGAUGGGAUUCCUCAUAAAGAAUACUUAAAAAAAAAAAAAAAAACACAGAAAAAAAACAAGGAUGACCAGGUGUGCUUCAGGCCCGAAGACAGCCUUGUCUUCAUUAUGAAGCACUGAUGGAUGGCUGUGUACCUCCGAAUUGAGUUACACAAUUUAGAACCUGAAGAUGGAGCUCUCCAAGGUCUCUCUGACCUCAUACUUCUCAUCUAUCUAUUUGUAUUGGAGGACAACUCUUUUGCUUAACAACAUGAACACACAGAAGCCAUCUUUCAGAAAAUCACUGUACAUAUGAGUGUGAAUCACCUUUUGAUGUCUCAAUAGACCCUGAGGAAUGUGCAGCAUAUACUGUUUGCGCAAGAUAAACAAAAUGUAGUUCUAGCUGAGACUGAUCAGCAACUGGGAGUCACUGACUGUGGAUGCCCAGAUGAGAAAGAAGACUUUAUAGAAACUGAUGUUAGGGAACCCAUGACUCUGGACAAUCCGCUGCCAUCUGCUGCCAUGGAAUCUGCUGUGCACUCAAGUCUGUGGAAUCAUGAGGCACCCAAUAGGCAAAUAAUGAGAUACAACAAGAAGGAAAAGAAUUUGGAAAUUUAAGCCUAAUGUGGCUAAUAACAGAACAGGAAUAGUUGGCUAAGAUGAUAAAGCAAAUGAAAAAGAGAAACAAGAAAGAAAAACCCUUUGUGGAUAAUGAUGUCUCCUUCAAUAAUUAAUUACAUACUGCAUAGAAUAAGUGAUGAUGCACUGCAUGAUAGUGUAUAUUUUUAGCUUUUUAUUUUUUAAUUUUUUAAAAUUUAUUUGACAGUUAUAGACAGUGAGAGAGAGACAAAGAAAAAGCUCUUCCU
rnacentral:lncRNA from 1 species